AUGGCCCGUCUCAAACAUGUGCGUCCAAAUAGGAGCAGAGGAGCUGGUUCGGGGGGGAAAGUAAACGUCGCAGCCCCCGAGUCGAGAGUGAGCCGCAGCAUGACUCCAAUGAGGAUCUCUAGAGAUCUGCCGUCGUAUUUACAUAAAAUGCGGCGGAAUAAUGGUUUGGACCUUCAAGGAAGAGGAGUUAUGAAGCUGCAUGGAAGACGGUUCGAAGGCCGUAGAGUUUACAGUAAGGGAACAGUGACUCCCAGCACUAAGGACCCCAGCCAAGACAGCACAAGUAUGAUUAUGCCCUCUGGUGUGUCCAGCUUUUUGUUGGAUUGUAUGGAUUCGGACUCAGAAGCAGAGGACACACUUCCUUCCAUUGAGAUGGUUCGCAAAGCUGAUAGUUAUGACGAGGGCACAGCUUUGGUCAGUGAAGAUGAAAUACUGCACCGCCACAUUAAGAACUCGACUCUUCUCGACCUCAGUCAUGCGGUGGACAUAGCCAUGCAACAACCCCCAAACCUCUCCUCCAUUCUAGAGCUCUCACCUGUACUUCAUGGGCAAGCUGCAAAGGAAUGGUUUUGUCUAUCACCCUUUAGCCCCUCACCUUUGACUAAAUCAGCAUCAACCAAGAAUACAGCAGGAAGCAACUACAAAACAUUUGGAGCUGAAGAAAGGACUCCUGAAACGAAGAGGGUGGUUGUUCUUUCUCCUGUUGUGAAAAGAAGGCCUCUGACUGGACAAGACAAGCCCAUGAAAUGCAGAAAGAAGGCUGAACUGAGAGGGAACACAGUGAUUGGCGAGAGGGAAGAGUUAAUGGAGCCCCAGGAGCUUUCCUCAGAGACAGCCAAGUUUUUUGACUUUGCUGAUGAAAGUGAGAAGCAACUUUUCUUCCAAAGAUUGAAAAGGACUUGCACCUUCCACUUCCCGACCAAACCGAUAACCUUCACAGACUUUCCCCAGACUGAGGAUGUCAGAAGCUAAGUUUAUGACUUCAGGACAGAAGACUGAUGCACCAUGAGUUGAGAGUUCAGUGGAGUCCGACUCUAAACAUGGAGAGAACAUUUAUUUGUGAUUUAAAAAGUUGACGGCGCUUCCUAAGAGAAACUCUUCUCUACUGUAAUUAUUGUAAAUGAUACUUUUUCAUUUGGAAACAAUACAUCGUUUUGUGUCCUGUUGUCUUGUUACGUCUUUCAUUAUCCUUAAAAUGUUUUUAAAAUGAAUCUAUAGAUGGUCAGUUGUCUUCAGUUGACUGCUGGCGCAGUGGUGUCGUUGUGAAGAAAAGAAUUUCCUGUAAGAGAAAAUUAAAUGACUAAGAUGAAUAAAUAGAAUUAUAAAAUUAACCCCCAGCAAUUGUUUUUUUUUUCUUGGAAACCAUAAAAAGCAUGGUGUUUUUAUAUAUUUUGUAGAUGGAUUUUGGGGAAAUGUGGGGGAAAAUUGCAAACAGACUUUUAGAAAUAAAGGUACAGUGCAGGUACUUUUUCUUUUUCAAGGUACAAACAAUGUAAAUGUACCACAAAGGUACAACAGUGGUUUUAAGGUCCAAGUGUUUUCGUAAGCUACCGUUUUAAAACAUUACAAAAUAAAAUAAAUAGCCUGG
ensembl:lncRNA